CUUCUUUUACAACAGCAUUGCCAGUAAGAAUAUCUUGAACUGUUUCAGCACCUAGCUGGCUUUGACUCCUUCUUUUGUAAAAGGCAGUACUAGCUGGAGCAGUGGAUCUCCUGAUUUGCAGCUUUGAUGGUCCUUUUGAAACCGUUGCUUCAGGGUAGUCAGAUCGUUAGAUCGUUAGGUUUUUGAGGAAUUUUUGGAUCUUUCUUUCUUAAUUCCUCCAACCUUUUGUAGGUUGACCUGACCACAUCUUCUUUCCAUCUAGCAAUCUGUCUUUUUGUACCAAAAUCAGCAACAACCAGUUCUUCUUUCAUUCUCUUCAGUUCCAUUUGCUUAUCAGGUACAUUCUUUCUGAACUUUGCCCAAUCAGGAGGAGUGUGAGUGACUUUCCUUUUUAUCAUGUCUUGAAUUCUUGCAGCUUCAACUUCAAGCUCAGGAACAAUCCACUCUUUGUAC
rnacentral:lncRNA from 1 species